AGGUACUGGCUCAAGAUAUCUGUCUCAUUCAAGAGGGUCACACUGCAUUUCCCCCUGUAGGAGAGAGAUUGGAAAACCCCGUAAUGCUUUUAGAGAAGAACUGCUGAGAGUACGAAGAAUGCUCUAGAAAUACAUCGCUACCCAGCUGCCAGUACUCAGACACCAAAGUCCACAACGGGCCAGCAAGAACAUCACACUUGUCUCUUUCUUGCUAAACCAGCCUGAGGUCCAGAAACUCAAGAUGAAAAAAUAUCACACAAGACUGUGUUUACCAGUUAUUUUCAAUUUCAGGAGACUCUUUGCUCUAAAACAUCACAUGCAGCCCUAA